UCCGCCGAAUUUAAGCAUAUAAUUAAGCGGAAGAAAAGAAAAUAACAAUGAUUUCUUUAGUAACGGCGAGUGAACAAGAAAAAGCUCAAGGAGAUAAUUCUAUAUCGUAGUUGUAAAAAGACUAUGUGUAUAGAAAUUGUUCUGUUAUAAGGAAGAAGUAAUCUGAGAAUAUAUGGGAUUUAUAUAUAUAUUUAGUUAUCGAAAUAAGUAGGAAUACUUUCCCAUAGAGGGUGAAAGGCCCGUAGUUAAUAAAUAUAUAAAGUUCUUUUUUUUUGGAUAAUUUUUUUUUUAAAGAGUAGUGCUCUUUGAGAUUGGAGUACAAAGAUGUGUGAUACAUUUCACAUAAGGCUAAAUAUAUAUAGGAGACCGAUAGGAAACAAGUACCGUGAGGGAAAGAUGAAAUAGUACUCAGGAAUGAGCAGUUAAAUAGUACCUGAAAUCGUUAAGGUGGAACGGAUUAAGAAAGGAAAAUGUAAGAAGAUAGUAAAUAUUACUCGGCGAGUUUUAUUAAGAUACGAUUUUUUUAUAAAAAGAAACAUGAGUGAACGAGAAUAAAUUAUAAUAUAAUUAUAUUAGAUAGGUAUAGAAUAGAUACACAGGACUAAGGGGGGAGGAGUAGUAAGAAAAAGGGUGCAGUGUAAAAGGGUUAUGCUUGUAUGUUUGAGUAUUCACUGCUUCUUUUUUUUUUUUUCUGUAAUUUUAUAUCUAUUUAAUUAAAGUAUCCUUAGCUAAUAAUAAUUUAUGAAGGAAGAACUUAAUUUAUAUGAGUUUUAAAAGGCAUGAUUAUAUUGUAUAUUAUAUGAUAUAUAUAUAAUUAUGUUUUAACCGAAAUGCGUAUAAUUAUUCUGUUUACUGAGGAAAGAGGUAAACAAUAGUGUGAACUAAGAAUGGGAUAUUUCUUUUUUCUGAUUGUAAGUUGUUUUUAAAUAGUACUUUUUUAACCCACUCGUCUUGAAACACGG
rnacentral:ncRNA from 1 species